rnacentral:rRNA from 1 species
AUGGCUCAGGACGAACGCUGGCGGCGUGCGUAAUACAUGCAAGUCGAGCGGACAGAUGGGAGCUUGCUCCCUGAAGUCAGCGGCGGACGGGUGAGUAACACGUGGGCAACCUGCCUGUAAGACUGGGAUAACUCCGGGAAACCGGGGCUAAUACCGGAUAAUUCUUUCCCUCACAUGAGGGAAAGCUGAAAGAUGGUUUCGGCUAUCACUUACAGAUGGGCCCGCGGCGCAUUAGCUAGUUGGUGAGGUAACGGCUCACCAAGGCAACGAUGCGUAGCCGACCUGAGAGGGUGAUCGGCCACACUGGGACUGAGACACGGCCCAGACUCCUACGGGAGGCAGCAGUAGGGAAUCUUCCGCAAUGGACGAAAGUCUGACGGAGCAACGCCGCGUGAGUGAUGAAGGUUUUCGGAUCGUAAAACUCUGUUGUUAGGGAAGAACAAGUACCGGAGUAACUGCCGGUACCUUGACGGUACCUAACCAGAAAGCCACGGCUAACUACGUGCCAGCAGCCGCGGUAAUACGUAGGUGGCAAGCGUUGUCCGGAAUUAUUGGGCGUAAAGCGCGCGCAGGCGGUUCCUUAAGUCUGAUGUGAAAGCCCCCGGCUCAACCGGGGAGGGUCAUUGGAAACUGGGGAACUUGAGUGCAGAAGAGAAGAGUGGAAUUCCACGUGUAGCGGUGAAAUGCGUAGAGAUGUGGAGGAACACCAGUGGCGAAGGCGACUCUUUGGUCUGUAACUGACGCUGAGGCGCGAAAGCGUGGGGAGCAAACAGGAUUAGAUACCCUGGUAGUCCACGCCGUAAACGAUGAGUGCUAAGUGUUAGAGGGUUUCCGCCCUUUAGUGCUGCAGCAAACGCAUUAA